UGCUUGUCCAAAGGACUCAGAUGACUCGC
rnacentral:piRNA from 1 species